CGUAGGUGAACCUGCGGAGGGAUCAUUACACAAUAAAAUAUGAAGGCCUGGCUUCGCGGCCGGCUGAAAUAUUUUUUCACCCAUGUCUUUUGCGCACUUGUUGUUUCCUGGGCGGGUUCGCCCGCCACCAGGACCAAACCAUAAACCUUUUUCUUAUGCAGUUUCCAUCAGCGUCAGUAAAAACAAUGUAAUAAUUACAACUUUCAACAACGGAUCUCUUGGUUCUGGCAUCGAUGAAGAACGCAGCGAAAUGCGAUACGUAGUGUGAAUUGCAGAAUUCAGUGAAUCAUCGAAUCUUUGAACGCACAUUGCGCCCUUUGGUAUUCCAAAGGGCAUGCCUGUUCGAGCGUCAUUUGUACCUUCAAGCUUUGCUUGGUGUUGGGCGUUUUUGUCUCCCUCUUUCUGGGAGACUCGCCUUAAAACGAUUGGCAGCCGGCCUACUGGUUUCGGAGCGCAGCACAUUUUUUGCGCUUUGUAUCAGGAGAAAAGGACGGUACUCCAUCAAGACUUUUACAAUUUUAACUUUUGACCUCGGAUCAGGUAGGGAUACCCGCUGAACUUAAGCAUAUCAAUAAGCGGAGGA
rnacentral:rRNA from 1 species